rnacentral:rRNA from 1 species
UACGUAGGGUGCGAGCGUUAAUCGGAAUUACUGGGCGUAAAGCGUGCGCAGGCGGUUUGUUAAGACAGAUGUGAAAUCCCCGGGCUUAACCUGGGAACUGCGUUUGUAACUGGCAGACUGGAGUGUGGCAGAGGGGGGUGGAAUUCCACGUGUAGCAGUGAAAUGCGUAGAGAUGUGGAGGAACACCAAUGGCGAAGGCAGCCCCUGGGUCGAUACUGACGCUCAUGCACGAAAGCGUGGGUAGCAAACAGGAUUAGAUACCCGGGUAGU